rnacentral:lncRNA from 1 species
GUAGGAGGAGGAGUUUAUAUUAAAAAUAAUAUAGCUUUUUUCAUAGACCAAUGAGCAUAAAAAUUUAUAAGGUCUUAAAAAAAAAAAAAAAUUGGCCUUUUUUUUAAAAUAAAAACAAAACACUGACAGGCCUGGAUCCGGGUCGGAUCCGGCUAAGGGAGAUGCGCAUCUCCCUCUGGGGGCGCAUCAUCGCAUAUGCGCGAGCACCCGGAACCUUGUUAAUCAUACAUUUACAGGUUUAAAAUAUAUAUAUAUAUAUAAACAGGGG